rfam:Triticum aestivum genome assembly, contig: Triticum_aestivum_CS42_TGACv1_scaffold_392617_5AS
AUUCUACUCCCUCCGUUGCACAAUACAUGCCUUCUAUUUGUCAAAAUAUAUAUGUAUCUAGACAUGUCUUAGUAUAUAGGCACAUCCAUUUUUGGACAAAUGGAAGUCAAGUAUUUUGGAACGGAGGGAGUACACA